AUGCGUCACAUAGGAGUUCCCACCGACACGGACCGCGAAACGCUCCCAGUAUAGCCGCCGGCGGCCACCCAGAUCCCCGCCGCGCCGCGCAGCUUGCCGCCGUGUUCGACGAGGGAGCCGGGGCAAGCAAGCCUGCCUAUAGCAUAUAGAGAAACUGGUUCGGGAAUGCGGGCCAGUGGCGCGGCAACGUCGCGGGUGGUGCGGCGGACGCGCAUCUCUUCGACGACCCGGAUGCCGCCGCCAUCCCGGCGCGCCUCGACCUCCCGCUUCCACGGCGAGAAGGUCGACGCUCAUGCGCCUCCACGCCCUCAUCUCGCAGGGCUUCUACGUCGCUCACCUCUUCCCGCAGGCGGUCAAGAACGUGCCGGCAUGGUUGAUCGAGGUGAAGAAGCUCGUCCACCUUUACCUGUUCCACCACGCCGAGAAGUUUAAAUCGGCGUGUAAGUGAAGGUGUAUUUCUCCUUCACGCCUUCGACGUCGACCCCCUUCCCCUGGUGUAGUAAUGUUUAAUCAGCCAGACCCGUUCUGUCCCACAAUGCCAUUUCUCUUUUUCUAAAUCCAGGAAAUCAAUAUCUUUCAAAAGAUUCAAGGACGUUCGAGGAGUGACCAAAACCAUUGAAGACUUUGCUGAGCGAGGCAAGCAAUCUACUUGGAUCAUGUUGAACCCAUAUUUGCAUUACACUUAUAAUUAAUUUUCAUGCAUAAAGUAUUGUUUACUAGUAUUGCUAUGUUAAGUAAAUUAGCUAGGGUUUAGCUAUGCCAUAUGUCCUUAAUAUUGAACACCCUUUGACAUUCUUAUGCUAAGUUAAUUAGCUAGGGUUUAGCUAUCCUCUAUGUGCUUGGUAUUGACACCCUCCUUUGACAUUCUUAAAACCCCUCCUUUCUAACCAUGUAGUGGUCACAAAUAAAUGUGCGUCAUAUGUGCAAGUUUAAUAGUAAUGCUUAGCCAUGCUAGUCGCGUAAAUCAUAGGACUUGGGAAGAAUCUUUAUUACUCAUAAAUGUUUUACAAAAACCCAAGGGUGCCACUAAUGCCCAUGGGAUGAUUCUGAAAAUAAGGUUUUACAAAAUGGAGAUGAAGUGGAGAUUUAGUUAGGUGAUUGUGAUCUUGACGAGAUAGUCAAAGAUGUUCGGUGGAUUAUGAAAAGUUAUGUCUAGUAAAUGAGCAUGGUGGUUAUUAUAUUGGCGGAUAAAUGGAUCUUUAAUAAACUUGAAGCAAUUUGGGUUUAGUUAGGCGAUUAUGAUCUUGAACCAAAUUUUAUGGUGGAUUAGGAGAUUUUGAUGCAGUUCAUUGUGAUCUUGAGGAGAUAGUCAAAGAUGUUCGGUGGAUUAAUUAAUCUUGGACAAUUUGGAUUUAGUUAGGUGAUUGUGGAACCGUAUUUCAUGAUGGAUUAUGAGAUUUUAGGUGGAUUUAGUUACGUGAUUUAAUCUUGAGAAGAUAGUCUAAAAUGCUCGGUUGAUUGUGAGAGUUUAGGUAUGGUACAUGAGCAUGAUGAUUAUUAUAUUGGUGGAUAAAUAGAUCUUUAAUUUUGUUUGGAACAUUUUGGAUUUAGUUAAGUGAUUGUGAUCUUAAACCAAAUUUCACGGUGGAUUAUGAGGUUUUGGUUGGAAUUAGUUAGGUGAGUGUGAUCUUGACGAGCUAGUAAAAAAUGUUUGGUGGAUUAUGUGAAUUUAGGUCUAGUAGGUGAGCAUGGUGGUAAUUAUAUCGGUUAAGUAAGUAAAUUUUUAGUAAACUUGAGAAAAUUUGGAUUUAGUUAGGAAAUUGUGAUCUUGAACCAAAUUUCAUGGGGGAUUAUGAGAUUUUAGAUGGAUUUAGUCAGUUGAUUGUGAUCUCGAGGAGAUACUCAAAGAUUUUUGAUGGAUUAAUUAACCUGGAACAAUUUGAAUUUAGUUAGGUUAUUGUGAUAUUGAACCGAAUUCCAUGAUGAUUUAUGUGAUUUUAGGUGGAUUUAGUUAAGUUAUUAUGAUCUUGAGAAGAUGGUCAAAGAUGUUAGGUGGAUCUUAAGAUUUUAGGUCUAGUACGUGAGCAUGGUGACUAUUAUAUUGGUGGAUAAAUAGACCUUUAAUUUAGUUUGAAACAAGUUGAAUUUAGUUAGAUGAUUGUGAUCUUUUAAGCAAAUUCACGGUGGAUUUUGAUGUUUCGGUUAGAUUUAGUUAGGUGAUUGUGAUCCUGACGCGAUAAUCAAAGAUGUUCAAUGGAUUAUGUGAGAAUUUAUGUCUAGUAAGUGAGCAUGGUGGUUAUUAUAUUGGUGGCUCAAUAGAUUUUUUAACAAAUUUGGAGUAAUUUGGAUUUAGUUAGGCGAUUGUGAUUUUGAACCAAAUUUCAUGGUGAAUUACAGGAUUUUAAAUGGAUUUAAUUAGUUGAUUGAAAUCUUGAGGAGAUAGUCCAAGAUGUUCGGUUGAUUAAUUAAUCUUUUUUAACACAGUACAGACGCAAGCGCUCAUACAGACGAGCAUACACUCAUCCCUAUGAACGCGCACACGCACAUCCUACCCCUAUGAGCACCUUCGAGAAACUGAGCCAGCAUAUCAUCUUGAGAUUUUACGAAGUUGCCGUAGGUGCCUCUUAGUCGAUGGAAAAAAUUUGAAGUUAGUUCGGUGAUUGUGAUAUUGAACCAAAUUUCUCGGUGAUUUAUUUGAUUUGAAGUGGAUUUAGUUAGGUGAUCGUGUUUUGAGAAGAUAGUCAAAAUGCUCGAUGGAUUAUGAGAUUUUAGUUAUGGUAAAUGAGCAUGAUGAUUAUUAUAUUGGUAGACAAACAAAUGUUUAAUUUAGUUUGGAUCAAUUUGGAUUUAGGUAGGUGAUUGUGAUCUUUUAACCAAAUUUUACGGUGGAUUAUGAGGUUUUGGUUGGAUUUAGUUAGGUGAUUGGGAUCUUGACGAGCUAGUAAAAGAUGUUCGGUAGAUUAUGUGAAUUUAGGUCUAGUAGGUGAGCAUGUUGGUUAUUAUAUUGGUGGAUAAAUGGAUUUUUAGAAAACUUGGAAAAAUUUGGAUUUAGUUAGGCGAUUGUGAUCUUAAACCAAAUUUUAUGGUGGAUUAUGAGAUUUCUGAUGGAUUAGUUAGUUGAUUGUGAUCUUGAGGAGAUAGUCAAAGAUAUUCGGUGUAUUAAUUAAUCUUUAACAAUUUGGAUUUAGUUAGGUGAUUGUGAUAUUGACUAAAUUUCUCUGUGAUUUAUGAGAUUUUAGUUGGAUUUAGUUAGGUGAUUGUGUCUUGAGAAAAUAAUCAAAGAUGUUUGGUGGAUUAUGAGAUUUAGGUCUAAUAACUGAGCAUGGUGAUUAUUAUAUUGGUGGAUAAACAAAUAUUUAAUUUAGUUUGAAGCUGUUUAGAUUUAGUUCGGUGAUUGUGAUCUUUUAACCUAAUUUUACGGUGGAUCAUAUGGUUUUGGUUGGAUUUAGUUAUGUGAUUGUGAUUUUGACAAGCUAGUGAAAGAUGUUCGGUGGAUUAUGUGAAUUUAGGUCUAGUAGGUGAGCAUGUUGAUUACUAUAUUGGUGGAUAGAGAUGAGGGCCACACAAGUGACUCAAGGCGAUGAUGCCACUAGUGAAAAUAGUUGGUACACAAGGCAAAAGAGGAGAGAAUGGGGGUAGUGGCAGCAGAUGGACUUUGAUCCAGCAUCCCACGUGCGUGUGCACUCUUUGUUCCUUGCUGUUCGGCUUGGUGUUCUUGUCCUGUUUGUGCGGAUUUUGUGUCACACACUUGAUUAAGCAUCCCACGUUGUCCUAAUCUGUGCCCUUGGCCUUACCAUAGGUAGUGUUGUGUUCUCGGGCGCGUCCCGUGGGUAAAAUUCAGGUAUGCGUCGAUUGUCCGAGCUCUUGCUCACCAUUGGUGGUGCUUGAGCGUGCGGUCAUGGUGUCACCCAACAAGGGAACACGGGAUGUGGGAUCAAGACAACACACAUAGCAACCCAUCACCAGGCAACGGACGCCCGUCCGUGACUUUCUGGAAGCGGAGGUGGACACAAAGGUGGAUGUUGAGCUCCAUAGCAGUCUCAAUAGUGUGCUUAUUAGUAAGAGCAACACGAGCAAGAAGAUCCUGGAUAUACUCCUCCUAGGAAAUAAAGAAGCCAUUAGAGGUAGAAGAAACAUCAAUCUCAAGGAAGUAGUAACUUCUUUAGUAAACAUGGAGCAAUUUGGAUUUAGUUAGAUGAUUGUGUCUUGAGCUGAUAAUCAAAGAUGUUUUGUGGAUCAUGAGAUUUUAGGUCUAGUAGAGGAGCAUGGUGAUUAUUGUAUUGGUGGAUAAAUAGAUAUUUAAAUUAAUUUUGAACACUUUGAAUUUGGUUAGGUGAUUUUGAUUUUUAGCCUAAUUUUACGAUGGAUUAUAAGGUUCUGGUUGGAUUUAGUCACGUGAUUGUGAUUUUGACGAGGUAGUAAAAGAUGUUCGAUGAAUUAUGUGAAUUUAGGUCUAGUAGGUGAGCAUGCUGAUUAUUGUAUUAGUGGAUAAAUGAAUCUUUAAUAAAUUUGGAACAAUUUGGAUUUAGUUAGACGAUUGUGACCUUGAACCAAAUUGUAUGGUGGAUUAUGAGAUUUUUAUGGACUAGUUAGUUGAUUAUGAUCUUGAGAAGAUAUUCAAAGAUGGUUGGAUUAAUUAAUCUUGAAUAAUUUGGAUUUAGUUAGGUGAUUGUUAUACUAAACCGAAUUUUACGCCGGAUUAUGAGAUUUUAUGUGGAUUUGGUUAGGUGAUUGUGUCUUGAGAAUACUCAAAGAUGUUUGCUGGACUAUGACAUUUUAGGUUUAGUAGAUGAGAAUGGUGAUUAUUAUAUUGGUGGAUACAACAGAUCUUUAAUUUAGUUUGGAACAAUUUUGAUUUAGUUAGGUGAUUGUUAUUUUUCAAACAAAUUCACGGUGGAUUUUGAGGUUUUGUUGGAUUUAGUUAGGUUAUUGUGAUCUCGAGGAGUUAGUCAAAGAUGUUUGGUGAAUUAUGUUAACUUAGGUCUAGUAAGUGAGCACGGUGGUUAUUAUAUUGGUGGAUAAAUGGUCCUUUAGUAAACAUGGAGCAAUUUGGAUGUAGUUAGGCUAUUGUGAUCUUGAAUAAAUUUCAUAGUGGAUUACAAGAUUUUCAAUAGAUUUAGUUAGUAGAUUGUGAUCUUGGGGAGAUGUCAAAGAUGUUUGGUGGCUUAAUUAAUCUUAAACAGAUUGGAGUUGGUAGAUGAUUGCGAUAUUGAACCAAAUUUCUCUGUGAUUUAUGAGAUUUUAGUUGGAUUUAGUUAGGUGAUUGUGUCUUGAGAUGAUAAUAAAAUAUGUUUGGUGGAUUAUGGAUUUUAGGUCUAAUAACUGAGCAUGGCGAUUAUUAUAUUGGUGGAUGAACAUAUAUUUAAUUUAGUUUGAAAUGAUUUGGAUUUAGUUAUGUGAUUGUGAUUUUGACAAGCUAGUAAAAGAUGUUCGGUGGAUUAUGUGAAUUUAGGUCUAGUAGGUGAGCAUGUUGAUUAUUAUAUUGGUGAAUAGAGAUGAGGGACGCACAAGUGACUCAAGGCAAUGAUGCCACUACUGAAAAUAACUGGUAAACAAGGCAAAAGAGGAGAGAAUCGGGGUAGUGGCAGCAGAUGGACUUUGAUCCAGCAUCCCACGCGCAUGUGCACUCUCCGUUCCCCGUUGUCCGGCUUGGUGUUCUUGUCCUGUUUGCGGAUUUUGUGUCACGCACUUGAUUAAGCAUCCCACGUUCUCCUAAUGUGCGCCCUUUGCCUUGACGAUAGGUAGCGCGUGUUCUCGGGAGUGUCCUGUGGGUAAAAUUCAGGUAUGCGUCGAUUGUCUGAGCUCUUGCUCGCCAUUGGUGGUGCUUGAGCGUGUGGUCAUGGUGUCGCCCAGCAAGGGAACACGGGAUGUGGGAUCAAGACAACACACAUAGCAACCCGUGACCAGGCAACGGACGCCCGUACGGACUUUGAGGGAGCGGAGGUGGACACAAAGAUGGAUGUUGAGCUCCAUAGCAGUCUCAACAGUGUGCUCAUCAGUACGAGCAACACGAGCAAGAAGAUCCUGGAUAUACUCUUCUUAGGAAACCUCAAUCUCAAGGAAGUAGCGACUUCUUUAGUAAACAUGGAGCAAUUUGGAUUCAGUUAGGCGAUUAUGAUCUUGAACAAAUUUCAUGGUGGAUUAUGAGAUUUUUCAAUGGAUUUAGUUGAUUGUGAUCUUGAGGAGAUAGUCAAAGAUGUUCGAUGUAUUAAUUAAUCUUGAACAAUAUGGAUUUAGUUAUGUGAUUGUGAUAUUGAACCAAAUUUCUCGGUGAUUUAUGAGAUUUUAGUUCGAUUUAGUUAGGUGAUUGUGUCUUGAGAUGAUAAUCAAAGAUGUUUUAUGGAUCAUGAGAUUUUAGAUCUAGUAGAGGAGAAUGGUGAUUAUUGUAUUGGUGGAUAAAUAGAUAUUUAAAUUAAUUUGAAACAAUUUCAAUUGGUCAGGUGAUUGUGAUCUUUUAACCUAAUUUUACGAUGGAUUAUAAGGUUCUGGUUGGAUUUAGUCAAGUGAUUGUGAUUUUGACGAGGUAGUAAAAGAUGUUCGAUGAAUUAUGUGAAUUUAGGUCUAGUAGGUGAGCCUGUUGAUUAUAUAUUGGUGGAUAAAUGAAUCUUUAAUAAAUUUGGAACAAUUUGGAUUUAGUUCGGUGAUUGUGAUACUGAACCGAAUUUUACGCCGGAUUAUGAGAUUUUAUGUGGAUUUAGUAAGGUGAUUGUGUCUUGAGAAUAGUCAAAGAUGUUUGCUGGACUAUGAGAUUUUAGGUUUAGUAGAUGAGAAUGGUGAUUAUUAUAUUGGUGGAUAAAACAGAUCUUUAAUUUAGUUUGGAACAAUUUUGAUUUAGUUAGGUGAUUUUUAUUUUUCAAACAAAUUCACGGUGGAUUUUGAGGUUUUGUUGGUUUUAGUUAGGUUAUUGUGAUCUCGAAGAGUUAGUCAAAGAUGUUUGGUGAAUUAUGUUAACUUAGGUCUAGUAAGUGAGCAUGGUGGUUAUUAUAUUGGUGGAUAAAUGGUCCUUUAGUAAACAUGGAGCAAUUUGGAUGUAGUUAGGCUAUUGUGAUCUUGAAUAAAUUUCAUAGUGGAUUACAAGAUUUUCAAUAGAUUUAGUUAGUAGAUUGUGAUCUUGGGGAGAUGUCAAAGAUGUUUGGUGGAUUAAUUAAUCUUAAACAGUUUGGAGUUGGUAGAUGAUUGCGAUAUUGAACCAAAUUUCUCUGUGAUUUAUGAGAUUUUAGUUGGAUUUUGUUAGGUGAUUGUGUCUUUGAGAUGAUAAUAAAAGAUAUUUGGUGGAUUAUGGAUUUUAGGUCUAAUAACUGAGCAUGGCGAUUAUUAUAUUGGUGGAUGAACAUAUAUUUAAUUUAGUUUGAAAUGAUUUGGAUUUAGUUAUGUGAUUGUGAUUUUGACAAGCUAGUAAAAGAUGUUUGGUGGAUUAUGUGAAUUUAGGUCUAGUAGGUGAGCAUGUUGAUUAUUAUAUUGGUGAAUAGAGAUGAGGGACGCACAAGUGACUCAAGGCAAUGAUGCCACUACUGAAAAUAACUGGUAGACAAGGCAAAAGAGGAGAGAAUGGGGGUAGUGGCAGCAGAUGGACUUUGAUGCAGCAUCCCACGUGCAUGUGCACUCCCCGUUCCCCGUUGUCCGGCUUGGUGUUCUUGUCCUGUUUGCGGAUUUUGUGUCACACACUUGAUUAAGCAUCCCACGUUCUCCUAAUGUGCGCCCUUUGCCUUGACGAUAGGUAGCGCGUGUUCUCGGGCGUGUCCUGUGGGUAAAAUUCAGGUAUGCGUCGAUUGUCUGAGCUCUUGCUCGCCAUUGGUGGUGCUUGAGCAUGGUGUCGCCCAGCAAGGGAACACGGGAUGUGGGAUCAAGACAGCACACAUAGCAACCCGUGACCAGGCAACAGACGCCCGUCCGGACUUUCAGGGAGCGGAGGUGGACACAAAGAUGGAUGUUGAGCUCCAUAGCAGUCUUAGCAGUAAGCUCAUCAGUACGAGCAACACAAGCAAGAAGAUCCUGGAUAUACUCCUCUUAGGAAACCUCAAUCUCAAGGAAGUAGCGACUUCUUUAGUAAACAUGGAGCAAUUUGGAUUCAAUUAGGCGAUUAUGAUCUUGAACAAAUUUCAUGGUGGAUUACGAGAUUUUUCAAUAGAUUUAGUUGAUUGUGAUCUUGAGGAGAUAGUCAAAGAUGUUCGGUGUAUUAAUUAAUCUUGAACAAUAUGGAUUUAGUUAUGUGAUUGUGAUAUUGAACCAAAUUUCUCGGUGAUUUAUGAGAUUUUAGUUCGAUUUAGUUAGGUGAUUGUGUCUUGAGAUGAUAAUCAAAGAUGUUUUGUGGAUCAUGAGAUUUUAGAUCUAGUAGAGGAGGAUGGUGAUUAUUGUAUUGGUGGAUAAAUAGAUAUUUAAAUUAAUUUGAAACAAUUUCAAUUGGUCAGGUGAUUGUGAUCUUUUAACCUAAUUUUACGAUGGAUUGUAAGGUUCUGGUUGGAUUUAGUCAGGUGAUUGUGAUUUUGACGAGGUAGUAAAAGAUGUUCGAUGAAUUAUGUGAAUUUAGGUCUAGUAGGUGAGCAUGUUGAUUAUAUAUUGGUGGAUAAAUGAAUCUUUAAUAAAUUUGGAACAAUUUGGAUUUAGUUAGGCGAUUGUGACCUUGAACCACAUUUUAUGGUGGAUUAUGAGAUUUUUAUGGACUAGUUAGUUGAUUAUGAUCUUGAGAAGAUAUUCAAAGAUGGUUGGAUUAAUUAAUCUUGAGUAAUUUGGAUUUAGUUAGGUGAUUGUGAUACUAAACCGAAUUUUACGCCGGAUUAUGAGAUUUUAUGUGGAUUUAGUUAGGUGAUUGUGUCUUGAGAAUAGUCAAAGAUGUUUGCUCGACUAUGAGAUUUUAGGUUUAGUAGAUGAGAAUGGUGAUUAUUACAUUGUUGGAUAAACGGAUCUUUAAUUUAGUUUGGAACAAUUUUGAUUUAGUUAGGUGAUUGUUAUUUUUCAAACAAAUUCACGGUGGAUUUUGAGGUUUUGUUGGAUUUAGUUAGGUUAUUGUGUUUUGAGCUAAUAAUCAAAGAUGUUUUGUGGAUCAUGAGGUUUUAGGCCUAGUUGAGGAGCAUGGUAAUUAUUGUAUUGGUGGAUAAAUAGAUAUUUAAAUUAAUUUAGAACAAUUUGAAUUUGGUCAGGUGAUUUUGAUUUUUUAGCCUAAUUUUACGAUGGAUUAUAAGGUUCUGGUUGGAUUUAGUCACGUGAUUGUCAUUUUGACGAGGUAGUAAAAGUUGUUCGAUUAAUUAUGUGAAUUUAGGUCUAGUAGGUGAGCAUGCUGAUUAUUAUAUUAGUGGAUAAAUGAAUCUUUAAUAAAUUUGGAACAAUUUGGAUUUAGUUAGACGAUUGUGACCUUGAACCAAAUUAUAUGGUGGAUUAUGAGAUUUUUAUGGACUAGUUAGUUGAAUAUGAUCUUGAGAAGAUAUUGAAAGAUGGUUCGAUUAAUUAAUCUUGAAUAAUUUGGAUUUAGUUCGGUGAUUGUGAUACUGAACCGAAUUUUACGCCGGAUUAUGAGAUUUUAUGUGGAUUUAGUAAGGUGAUUGUGUCUUGAGAAUAGUCAAAGAUGUUUGCUGGACUAUGAGAUUUUAGGUUUAGUAGAUGAGAAUGGUGAUUAUUAUAUUGGUGGAUAAAACAGAUCUUUAAUUUAGUUUGGAACAAUUUUGAUUUAGUUAGGUGAUUUUUAUUUUUCAAACAAAUUCACGGUGGAUUUUGAGGUUUUGUUGGUUUUAGUUAGGUUAUUGUGAUCUCGAAGAGUUAGUCAAAGAUGUUUGGUGAAUUAUGUUAACUUAGGUCUAGUAAGUGAGCACGGUGGUUAUUAUAUUGGUGGAUAAAUGGUCCUUUAGUAAACAUGGAGCAAUUUGGAUGUAGUUAGGCUAUUGUGAUCUUGAAUAAAUUUCAUAGUGGAUUACAAGAUUUUGAAUAGAUUUAGUUAGUAGAUUGUGAUCUUGGGGAGAUGUCAAAGAUGUUUGGUGGAUUAAUUAAUCUUAAACAGUUUGGAGUUGGUAGAUGAUUGCGAUAUUGAACCAAAUUUCUCUGUGAUUUAUGAGAUUUUAGUUGGAUUUAGUUAGGUGAUUGUGUCUUUGAGAUGAUAAUAAAAGAUGUUUGGUGGAUUAUGGACUUUAGGUCUAAUAACUGAGCAUGGCGAUUAUUAUAUUGGUGGAUGAACAUAUAUUUAAUUUAGUUUGAAAUGAUUUGGAUUUAGUUAUGUGAUUGUGAUUUUGACAAGCUAGUAAAAGAUGUUCGGUGGAUUAUGUGAAUUUAGGUCUAGUAGGUGAGCAUGUUGAUUAUUAUAUUGGUGAAUAGAGAUGAGGGACGCACAAGUGACUCAAGGCAAUGAUGCCACUACUGAAAAUAACUGGUAGACAAGGCAAAAGAGGAGAGAAUGGGGGUAGUGGCAGCAGAUGGACUUUGAUCCAGCAUCCCACGUGCAUGUGCACUCCCCGUUCCCCGUUGUCCGGCUUGGUGUUCUUGUCCUGUUUGCGGAUUUUGUGUCACGCACUUGAUUAAGCAUCCCACGUUCUCCUAAUGUGCGCCCUUUGCCUUGACGAUAGGUAGCGCGUGUUCUCGGGCGUGUCCUGUGGGUAAAAUUCAGGUAUGCGUCGAUUGUCUGAGCUCUUGCUCGCCAUUGGUGGUGCUUGAGCAUGGUGUCGCCCAGCAAGGGAACACGGGAUGUGGGAUCAAGACAGCACACAUAGCAACCCGUGACCAGGCAACAGACGCCCGUCCGGACUUUCAGGGAGCGGAGGUGGACACAAAGAUGGAUGUUGAGCUCCAUAGCAGUCUUAGCAGUAAGCUCAUCAGUACGAGCAACACGAGCAAGAAGAUCCUGGAUAUACUCCUCUUAGGAAACCUCAAUCUCAAGGAAGUAGCGACUUCUUUAGUAAACAUGGAGCAAUUUGGAUUCAGUUAGGCUAUUGUGAUCUUGAAUAAAUUUCAUAGUGUAUUACAAGAUUUUCAAUAGAUUUAGUUAGUAGAUUGUGAUCUUGGGGAGAUGUCAAAGAUGUUUGGUGGAUUAAUUAAUCUUAAACAAUUUGGAGUUGGUAGAUGAUUGCGAUAUUGAACCAAAUUUCUCUGUGAUUUAUGAGAUUUUAGUUGGAUUUAGUUAGGUGAUUGUGUCUUGAGAUGAUAAUAAAAGAUGUUUGGUGGAUUAUGGAUUUUAGGUCUAAUAACUGAGCAUGACGAUUAUUAUAUUGGUGGAUGAACAUAUAUUUAAUUUAGUUUGAAACGAUUUGGAUUUAGUUAUGUGAUUGUGAUUUUGACAAGCUAGUAAAAGAUGUUCGGUGGAUUAUGUGAAUUUAGAUCUAGUAGGUGAGCAUGUUGAUUAUUAUAUUGGUGAAUAGAGAUGAGGGACGCACAAGUGACUCAAGGCAAUGAUGCCACUACUGAAAAUAACCGGUAAACAAGGCAAAAGAGGAGAGAAUGGGGGUAGUGGCAGCAGAUGGACUUUGAUCCAGCAUCCCACGUGCAUGUGCACUCUCCAUUCCCCGUUGUCCGGCUUGGUGUUCUUGUCCUGUUUGCGGAUUUUGUGUCACACACUUGAUUAAGCAUCCCACGUUCUCCUAAUGUGCGCCCUUGGCCUUGACGAUAGGUAGCGCGUGUUCUCGGGCGUGUCCUGUGGGUAAAAUUCAGGUAUGCGUCGAUUGUCUGAGCUCUUGCUCGCCAUUGGUGGUGCUUGAGCAUGGUGUCGCCCAGCAAGGGAACACGGGAUGUGGGAUCAAGACAGCACACAUAGCAACCCGUGACCAGGCAACAGACGCCCGUCCGGACUUUCAGGGAGCGGAGGUGGACACAAAGAUGGAUGUUGAGCUCCAUAGCAGUCUCAGCAGUAAGCUCAUCAGUACGAGCAACACGAGCAAGAAGAUCCUGGAUAUACUCCUCUUAGGAAAUAAAGAAGGCAUUAGAGGUAGAAGAAACCUCAAUCUCAAGGAAGUAGCGACUUCUUUAGUAAACAUGGAGCAAUUUGGAUUCAGUUAGGCGAUUAUGAUCUUGAACAAAUUUCAUGGUGGAUUACGAGAUUUUUCAAUGGAUUUAGUUGAUUGUGAUCUUGAGGAGAUAGUCAAAGAUGUUCGUUGUAUUAAUUAAUCUUGAACAGUAUGGAUUUAGUUAUGUGAUUGUGAUAUUGAACCAAAUUUCUCUGUGAUUUAUGAGAUUUUAGUUCGAUUUAGUUAGGUGAUUGUGUCUUGAGAUGAUAAUCAAAGAUGUUUUGUGGAUCAUGAGAUUUUAGGUCUAGUAGAGGAGGAUGGUGAUUAUUGUAUUGGUGGAUAAAUAGAUAUUUAAAUUAAUUUGAAACAAUUUGAAUUUGGUCAUGUGAUUUUGAUUUUUUAGCCUAAUUUUACGAUGGAUUAUAAGGUUCUGGUUGGAUUUAGUCACGUGAUUGUGAUUUUGACGAGGUAGUAAAAGAUGUUUGAUUAAUUAUGUGAAUUUAGGUCUAGUAGGUGAGCAUGUUGAUUAUUAUAUUAGUGGAUAAAUGAAUCUUUAUUAAAUUUGGAACAAUUUGGAUUUAGUUAGACGAUUGUGACCUUGAACCAAAUUAUAUGGUGGAUUAUGAGAUUUUUAUGGACUAGUUAGUUGAUUAUGAUCUUGAGAAGAUAUUCAAAGAUGGUUGGAUUAAUUAAUCUUGAAUAAUUUGGAUUUAGUUAGGUGAUUGUGAUACUGAACCGAAUUUUACGCCGGAUUAUGAGAUUUUAUGUGGAUUUAGUUGGGUGAUUGUGUCUUGAGAAUAGUCAAAGAUGUUUGCUGGACUAUGAGAUUUUAGGUUUAGUAGAUGAGAAUGGUGAUUAUUAUAUUGGUGGAUAAAACAGAUCUUCAAUUUAGUUUGGAACAAUUUUUAGCCUAGUUUUACGAUGGAUUAUAAGGUUCUGGUUGGAUUUAGUCACGUGAUUGUGAGUUUGACGAGGUAGUUAAAGAUGUUCGAUGAAUUAUGUGAAUUUAGGUCUAGUAGGUGAGCAUGCUGAUUAUUAUAUUAGUGGAUAAAUGAAUCUUUAAUAAAUUUGGAACAAUUUGGAUUUAGUUAGACGAUUGUGACCUUGAACCAAAUUAUUUAGUUAGACGAUUUAGUUAGGUGAUUGUGUCUUGAGAAUUGUCAAAGAUGUUUGCUCGACUAUGAGAUUUUAAGUUUAGUAGAUGAGAAUGGUGAUUAUUAUAUUGGUGGAUAAAACAGAUCUUUAAUUUAGUUUGGAACAAUUUUGAUUUAGUUAGGUGAUUGUUAUUUUUCAAACAAAUUCACGGUGGAUUUUGAGGUUUUGUUGGAUUUAGUUAGGUUAUUGUGAUCUCGAAGAGUUAGUCAAAGAUGUUUGGUGAAUUAUGUUAACUUAGGUCUAGUAAGUGAGCACGGUGGUUAUUAUAUUGGUGGAUAAAUGGUCCUUUAGUAAACAUGGAGCAAUUUGGAUGUAGUUAGGCUAUUGUGAUCUUGAAUAAAUUUCAUAGUGUAUUACAAGAUUUUCAAUAGAUUUAGUUAGUAGAUUGUGAUCUUGGGGAGAUGUCAAAGAUGUUUGGUGGAUUAAUUAAUCUUAAACAAUUUGGAUUUGGUAGAUGAUUGCGAUAUUGAACCAAAUUUCUCUGUGAUUUAUGAGAUUUUAGUUGGAUUUAGUUAGGUGAUUGUGUCUUUGAGAUGAUAAUAAAAGAUGUUUGGUGGAUUAUGGACUUUAGGUCUAAUAACUGAGGAUGGUGAUUAUUAUAUUGGUGGAUGAACAGAUAUUUAAUUUAGUUUGAAAUGAUUUGGAUUUAGUUCGGUGAUUGUGAUCUUUUAACCUAAUUUUACGGUGGAUUAUAAGGUUUUGGUUGGAUUUGGUUAGCCGAUUGUGAUUUUGACAAGCUAGUAAAAGAUGUUUGGUGGAUUAUGUGAAUUUAGGUCUAGUAGGUGAGCAUGUUGAUUAUUGUAUUGGUGGAUAAAUAAUUAUUUAAUAAACUUGGAAAAUUUUGGAUUUAGUUAAGCGAUUGUCAUUUUGAACCAAAUUUUAUGUUGGAGUAUGAGAUUUUUGAUGGAUUAGUUAGUUGAUUGUGAUCUUGAAGAGAUUGUCAAAGAUGUCCGGUGUAUUAAUUAAUCUUGAACAAUUUGGAUUUAGUUAAGUGAUUGUGAUAUUGAAACAAAUUUCUCUGUGAUUUAUGAGAUGUUAGUUGGAUUUAGUUAGGAUAUUGUGUCUUGAAAAGAUAGUCAAAGAUGUUUGGUGGAUUAUGAGAUUUUAGGUCUAAUAGAUGAGCAUGGUGAUUAUUAUUUUUGUGGAAAUGAAUCUUUAAUAAAUUUGGAACAAUUUGGAUUUAGUUAGCCGAUUGUGAUCUUUAACCAAAUUUUAUGGUGGAUUAUGAGAUUUAGUUUGGCUCCGCUCUGCCUCUUCCUCAAGGAGCAUGUGUAGUCUAGUGGUGCGGCGGCUCGUGCGGCGUGCGGUGGCCUUAGAAGAUGGGCGCCGACACCUGCUGCUUGUGCACAAUGGUGACUCCACGCAUCUCCUGCGCCCCACAACCCUCUCCUUCCCGGCACAGGAGGAGCAGGAGCAAGGAUGCCGAGGCGGUUCAGUCGCGAGGAAGAGUAGGAAGAUCAGGCAGAGAGGGUUUUACAUACCUCUUCCACACUGACAAGUCUUUGCUUUUCAGGAUUGCCAUGGCGAGCUGCUGCUGGAGCUUUGGAUGGUGGUCUUGGUAUUCCACACAGUGACAAGAGAUUUGCUGGCUUCAAGAAGGAUAAGAAGCAGCCGGGCGCUGAGAUUCACCGCAAAUACAUCUAUGAAGGUCAUGUUGCUGACUACAUGAAGUCAAUAGCUGAUGAGGAACCUAAGAAGUACCAAUCUCACUUCAGUGAGUACAUCUGAAAGAAUAUUGCGGCCGAUGACAUGGAAUAAGGUUCAUGCUACCAUUUGUGCUUAUCCUACCAUGGCAAGAUCAACUAAGGAACCUCCAAAGACGCACAAGAAUUGGAUAUAUCUUGCUGUUUAUUAAAGUCAAACAACUGAUAAUGAAGUUUAUCAAUAUAUAGUAAUGGGUAUAAAUGUUUCCUCAUACUCAUGUAGUCCGUUCAUUCCUAAACUAUAUGUUCUUCUUUUGUUAAAACCUUAAAAUAUUAAGAUGUUACGGUAAAUAAAUUCCUUCAGAAUCAAUAAUAGAAAAGUUUUGCUAUGCAAUAAGAUACAGUUGUAUGCAAAAAAUAAUCUUGUAUUAUAUAGUUAUAUAUCAAAACUAUGGAUUUUCUAUGCACUUCCUGCGAUCAUUAAUGUUCAUUGUCUUUGUUCGGAUUUUGUUGGGCACCUGCGGCAAGCGGUGUCAGACACGAGGGACGCUGCCAGGUCCGCGUCAACAUCGUGCUCACAGAGCCUGGCCGCUGCGUUGUGUUCUCCAUUUUGCAGUGCAUGGUGAACUACACGGCAAAGUUCAGCUGAAGUUCCUCUAUUUUCUUCCUACUAAGAGCCCUGACGAUUUGUACUACUUGGCUGCAAAUUUGUGCCGUUUGCAUCACCAUACGGAUAGUGGUUUGUUCUUCUGGCAUUAUUCAUGGUUCUCAUCAUAGCCAUACUGAAUGAUGCAGGUGGCAUACCUGAAUUUAUCAUAUGAAUUAUGACUUUAUGAGCUUGCUUGGCUACUGACCUGCUGUUUUGGAAGGGCGUCCUUUUACCAGAGCUAUGGAUUUUAUUAUGCUCCAUUUCCUUCAGGGCGCGUUGACCCACCGUGGAUGUUGGUCGCUGCAUGCCUGCGCUGUUCUUUGCUCGGCUGGGUGGAGCGCUUGUGUUGCCAGCCUACAAUUGGCGUCGGGACUUUCGUUCGGUUCUGCUCGGCGGCGGUGAUUUCCUUCGGUUCUGCUGGGCCCUUCUAUCUAGCGGCCCCUAGAAGGGAGCGCGGGUGACGCGCUGCAGUCUAGCCUCCACCGCCGCCACCGCCUGUACUCGCCGUCUCGUCUGCUGCUGAAGCUCCCAAACAGCUCACCUCGUGGCAGCAAGGAGUUAGUCAAAAUAUGCAAGUAUGUGCACCCAUUUUGUUCAAGCCCCUUGCUCAAAAGUUGGUCAGGAGAUGCAAGAAUACAGGUAAACUGCAUAUAUAACUGCAUUUUUACGCAGAACUGAAAUUUCACAGAAACUACACUAAACUGCAUUGAGAUUAUUGAAAAGUGUUAAUUAAAUGUUAAAUGGAUAACUUUGUGACAAUCUACACCGUAUCUUUAUGGACUAGGACCAAUCAAAACAACAUGCAGGAAUUGUUCAUCCUCAUGGAACCAAAAAACCAUCCAUCCACUUUCAUUGCAAGUCAACACUGUACUGAGCUUUCCCUGUCCAUACACUUCCGAAACAGAAUGCCAGAUUGUUAAAUACUGACCAAGAUAAUGAUAUUUAGAAACAAAUUACCUCACCCUCACCUCUUUCUGAUUCGUUUUUUGCUGCUGAACUAUUGCUGUCGGCUGUCGGAGUGCCUUUGCUGCUUUGGGUUCUUGCUUAACUUCCGCCUGCUGUGGAUGCCGCUUUGUGCUUGGGUCUUUCCUUGUUGCUGCUGGUGUCGCCGUCUUAUUGCUGGCCAGGGGCAUGAUAUCUUGAGCAGCAGCCAAUCCUCCACGGGUGAAGUGAAGAUUUAUGUUUGUUACAAUUUCCAAUAUUAGCAUAGUAUGUAUUUGCAUGUUGCAAAGAUCUCGGUAUGAGGAGAUUUAGAUUCAUUCAACUCAACCAUUGACAGGCAGGGAGACAACAAAGGGGGCAGUAUAAUUGCAUCCCAUCAUUAUUUUUCUUUUUAUUAGAUGGCAUAUUGUUAUUUUGUUUUAUAUAUACUUAACGUCCCCAUAUGGCUGUUGUAUUACCAUGUAUCCGUGUUUCUUAGUUCUUAAUCAUCCUAAGUUUUAGCAGAUUAAUUAAUCAUUUACUUUUCUCAAUUUUAUUGUUUUGGAAAUUUUGUUCCUCUACCAUUUAUCAAGUACGGUUUGCGAGAGGUGGUUGCUACUCCUACGUUCUAGAUUAGCCUUGGCAGUUCAGAGUCUGGUAUUGAACGUGUUACAAUGUAUUAUCAUAAUGUAAUAAUGUUUUGGUAUUUACUUGAGAGCUAGCAUCCCAUGUACUAGUAUCUGUUUUGUAUUGUUUUGCCGGCAUCUAUAUGUAAUACAAAAGGUAGUUCUCGUUCAGCAUUUAAAUGAUCUGGUGUCGUUCUAUUGCAUGGCAUUUGAAUUGCCCAAUGCUUGGUUGUGAGAGAUGAUAUCUAGUAUCUCAGAAAGGAGAAAGGGUCACGGCUGGUCAAAUGUUUUGUGCCUAGGACUGAUAUGAACUUUUCUUCCACAACUAGACAAUUAUCCAAUCUAUUUCAAUUGUCUGAAUGUUAACUCGAGGUAAGAGCAAGUGCUACGACAAUUCCCAGUACACAUUUAAAACUAGUUUGGCAACAAAGUUUUUAGAAAACCGUGGUAAUUGAAAACCACAGUAUUUCGAUGUGUGGCCAAAGAAUACUGCAGUUUCUUUAAACCAUGGUUUUUCUCAGUUUUACUAAAACUACCAGGUGUUUGGGUGGUGUUCUUAUACUACAGUUUUGACCGGAUUAUAAGGCAGGAUGACAGAUAAAACUAACUCAACUAACUAAAGGUGCUACAUGACCGGACUAAUUAGCGUAUGCUAACAGCCGCCAUUUAGUAGUGUUGUAUUCCCAUCCACCGGUGCCAUCUAAAAUGUAUAUGCCGCCCGGCAGCGUUGCAACUUGCAAUCACCAGAAGGACUUGGGACACCAAUUAACAGAAGGCAAUGUUAACCGACUCGCCUAUUAAUUAGGAGAUGGAAUAAGAUUCGCUAACAAGAUAAUGGAAAGAGGCAAAAUAGUAGUGAUCGCAUGCAUCUGAUUUUAUCUCAACGUAGACAGGAACGUCAAGUGCGCUCUCUUCAAUGACUUCUCUCGCUUCUGUUUAGGAAAAAGAGGUCUGGACCACUUUUUUAGAUACUGCAAAAUAACCACAGUUUUUGGCAUACUGCAGUUUAUGAAACUUCUGCUUUUGUUUUACCCAAACACCUCAACGUAUGUAAUACCAAAGUAUUUUCAGAAACCACAGUAUUUCCUGAAAACUGCAAAAAUACUUUGUAAACAAACGCACCCUUAUAAGCAGUAUUUCGGUUAAAAAAGACUUGACGCAGUAGCAGUUUAAUAUUAUUCAGACUUAGACACCGUAGCAGUUGCUUGUUCCACUCCACAACCUGCAAAGCAGCAAAUCACACUCCCUCUUAACAACCGACGACGAUGGACACCGGAGGCAGAAGAAGCAGCAUAGUACACCAUGCAGCAGAACCUGAAUGAACCUGCAAAGCGCCAGGAUCUGUGGUAACGCUGGAACUUGCCGCACGGCGCGGUGCGCAGCUCGACGCCAGCGGCGGCAGCGAGUCGCCGGCCUCGGCGGGCCACUUUCCCCACGUCCCUGGCGCGCAUCUUGUCAUGCGGUUCACUACGGUGCUCGCCAUGGCGGAUCGAUGCUCUGAACGGCGAUCGGUGCUCUGCAUAACACAUGACAGAAUGGUGACCGCAUGGC